rnacentral:rRNA from 1 species
GAAUUCGCCCUUAGAGUUUGAUCCUGGCUCAGGACGAACGCUGGCGGCGCGCCUAACACAUGCAAGUCGAACGGAGCUUAGAGAGCUUGCUUUUUAAGCUUAGUGGCGAACGGGUGAGUAACGCGUGAGUAACCUGCCCUAGAGUGGGGGACAACAGUUGGAAACGACUGCUAAUACCGUAUAAGCCCACGGUGCCGCAUGACACUGAGGGAAAAGGAUUUAUUCGCUUUAGGAUGGACUCGCGUCCAAUUAGCUAGUUGGUGAGGUAACGGCCCACCAAGGCGACGAUUGGUAGCCGGACUGAGAGGUUGAACGGCCACAUUGGGACUGAAACACGGCCCAGACUCCUACGGGAGGCAGCAGUGGGGGAUAUUGCACAAUGGGGGAAACCCUGAUGCAGCAACGCCGCGUGAGUGAAGAAGUAUUUCGGUAUGUAAAGCUCUAUCAGCAGGAAAGAAAAUGACGGUACCUGACUAAGAAGCCCCGGCUAACUACGUGCCAGCAGCCGCGGUAAUACGUAUGGAGCAAGCGUUAUCCGGAUUUACUGGGUGUAAAGGGUGCGUAGGUGGCAGUGCAAGUCAGAUGUGAAAGGCCGGGGCUCAACCCCGGAGCUGCAUUUGAAACUGCUCGGCUAGAGUACAGGAGAGGCAGGCGGAAUUCCUAGUGUAGCGGUGAAAUGCGUAGAUAUUAGGAGGAACACCAGUGGCGAAGGCGGCCUGCUGGACUGUUACUGACACUGAGGCACGAAAGCGUGGGGAGCAAACAGGAUUAGAUACCCUGGUAGUCCACGCCGUAAACGAUGA